GACGACUCAGACUUCAUGUGUCCAGACUCAGGACUGAAGACUCGGGAAUGUACAAGUGUCAAUUCUUCCCAGAUUAUGGGAGGAGCUCUGGUAGAUGUUGGCUCAAUGUCACUGCGAGGGAUGAACCUGAGACACCGAACACAACAAGUCCUCCACGACCAGAGAGUCUUGGAUGGACCGGUCUCUACUGUGGACUGGGACUGGGACUGGGACUGACAGCAGCAGCUCUGCUGGGUGGUGGUUUCUAUUGGUUCAGAAAGAGAAGAAGGCCGAGAGAACAAGACUCCCAUCCGGGGAAUAGAAGUUACAGAUCAGCAGAUGGUGAAUCAUUAACAACUGAGACAAAUCAGUUAUAAUCAACUGUUUAUACCACGGACACAAAGAAAAUAAUUUUUCUCAUUGGCAGGUAAUAUAACAGCAGGUAACCAUAGCGAUGUUGAUGUUUCUCACACAUGAAAAUGAGGAAAAAGAACAAAACAACCUGUAAAAGGUGAUGACUGAAACACAUUCAUGAUAUAGAAGUCUAAUUACUGAGCCGAGAA